UGGAUGAGUGGCGAACGGGUGAGUAAUACGUGAGUAACCUGCCCUUGACUCUGGGAUAAGCCUGGGAAACUGGGUCUAAUACUGGAUAUGACAUGUCACCGCAUGGUGGUGUGUGGAAAGGGUUUUACUGGUUUUGGAUGGGCUCACGGCCUAUCAGCUUGUUGGUGGGGUAAUGGCUCACCAAGGCGACGACGGGUAGCCGGCCUGAGAGGGUGACCGGCCACACUGGGACUGAGACACGGCCCAGACUCCUACGGGAGGCAGCAGUGGGGAAUAUUGCACAAUGGGCGGAAGCCUGAUGCAGCGACGCCGCGUGAGGGAUGACGGCCUUCGGGUUGUAAACCUCUUUCAGCACGGAAGAAGCGAAAGUGACGGUACGUGCAGAAGAAGCGCCGGCUAACUACGUGCCAGCAGCCGCGGUAAUACGUAGGGCGCAAGCGUUGUCCGGAAUUAUUGGGCGUAAAGAGCUCGUAGGCGGUUUGUCGCGUCUGCUGUGAAAGCCCGGGGCUUAACCCCGGGUGUGCAGUGGGUACGGGNAGACUUGAGUGCAGUUAGGGAGACUGGAAUUCCUGGUGUAGCGGUGAAAUGCGCAGAUAUCAUGAGGAACACUGAUGGCGAAGGCAUGUCUCUGGGCUGUUACUGACGCUGAGGAGCGUAUG
rnacentral:rRNA from 1 species